rnacentral:rRNA from 1 species
UACGAAGGGGCUAGCGUUGCUCGGAAUGACUGGGCGUAAAGGGCGCGUAGGCGGAUGGCACAGUCAGAUGUGAAAUUCCCGGGCUUAACCUGGGGCUGCAUUUGAUACGUGUUGUCUUGAGUUCGGAAGAGGGUCGUGGAAUUCCCAGUGUAGAGGUGAAAUUCGUAGAUAUUGGGAAGAACACCGGUGGCGAAGGCGGCGACCUGGUCCGACACUGACGCUGAGGCGCGAAAGCGUUGGGGAGCAAACAGG